rnacentral:rRNA from 1 species
UACAGAGGGCGCAAGCGUUGUUCGGAAUCAUUGGGCGUAAAGGGCGUGUAGGCGGUCUGUUAAGUCAUGCGUGAAAUCCCUCGGCUCGACCGGGGAACGACGCAUGAAACUGACAAGCUAGAGUACCAAAGAGGGGGGUGGAAUUCCCGGUGUAGCGGUGAAAUGCGCAGAUAUCAGGAGGAACACCGAUGGCGAAGGCAGAUCUCUGGGCCGUAACUGACGCUGAGGAGCGAAAGCAUGGGGAGCGAACAGG